rnacentral:lncRNA from 1 species
AAGGAACACAGCUGAACCUACUGUUGGCAAUUUUGUAAAGUACCACUGAGUCUAGUGACGCCUGUAGUUAGUUCUCUAACCUACUAUUUACUGAGAAAUCAAGGCAAGGAGCCAGGCCACAUCCAAUACAAGGAGGUUGUGUUCCUGAACACUGGGAAGAUGUAGCUAAACUGCAUUUCUUUCCCAUGAACAAAGAAAGCCCUUUCCUAAGGAUUUUACUGGCUGCUGUCCAGACACCCAGAAGAAGAAAAAGAGGAGGGAGAGAGCGUCACAAGUACAAAGCGCGAUGAAAUGACACAUGAUGAAAAGGCCUGGCUUGCUGCUGCUUUGUCUUCUUGCCAGAUAAAGG